UUUCAUAUAGUUUAAUAAAAAAACCUUUUACUUUCACUAAAAAAAAGAACAUAAAUUCUAUGAAUU
rnacentral:tRNA from 1 species